GGAAUUAUCAGAAGGUGGUGAUCGCGAAAUCGAUGAAGAGUUGCGUAAGGCUGAGGCGGCACUGAAACAGAGCAAACAAAAA
rnacentral:SRP_RNA from 1 species